UAGUUACAGGUGGACACAAUGUCUUUAUUUUACUUUAUGUGGUGCUGAGCCAGUGCCUCAUGCAAGCUAGGCGAGUGCUCUACUGCUGAGCCACAACCCCAGCCCUCUUGUAUUCUUGAUAAUUGCUGUUCUGGCUGGAGUGAGGUAAAAUCUCAGUGUAGUUUUAAUUUGCAUUUCUUUAAUUGCUAGAGAUGUUGGAACAUUUUUUCAUGUGUCUGUUGCCCAUUUGUGUAUCUUCUUUUGAGAAGUGUCUGUUUAGUUCCUUUGCCCAUUUAUUGAUUGGGUCAUCUGUUUUUUUGUUGUUGUUGUUUGUUUGUUUGUUUUUUUUGGUUUUAAGCUUUUUGAGUUCUUUGUAUAUACUGGAAAUUAAUGCCUUAUCUGAGGGUGUGGGUGACAAAGAUUUUUCUGCCAUUCUGUAGGCACUCUCUUCAUGCUUUUAUUGUUUCCUUUGCUGUGAACAAGCUUUUAGUUUGAUACCAUCCCAUUUGUUGAUUUUUGAUUUUACUUGUACUUUAGGAGUCUUGUUGAGGAAAUUGGUUCCUAAGGGGACAUGCUGGAGUGUUGUGCCUAUAUUUUCUUUUAGUAGGCAGAGGGUUUCUGGUCAAUGUCUAGGUCUUUUUUUUUUUUUUUGGUGGGGAAAAACAAUUUUAUUUAUUUAUUUAAUUAAUUUUAAUUUGUUACAUAUGACAACAGAAUGUAUUACAAUUCAUAUUACACAUAGAGCACAAUUUUCCAUAUCUCUGGUUGUACACAAAGUAGAGUCACAUCCUUUGUGUCUUCAUACAUGUACUUAGGGUAAUGAUGACCAUCACAUUCUACUGGCUUUCCUACCCCUAUGCCCCUCCCUUCCCCUCCUUCCCCUUUUCCCUUUUGCCCUGUCUAGAGUUCAUUUGAUCCUCCCCAUCAUAUCCCCCCCACCACCCCACUCCCGCCAGCAUCCUUAAAUUCAAGAAAUCAUUUGGCAUUUGGUUUUUGGGGAUUGGCUAAUUUCACUUAGCAUUAUAUUCUCCAUCUCCAUUUAUUUACCUGCAAGUGCCAUUAUUUUAUUCUCUUUUAAUGUUGAAUAAUAUUCCAUUGUGUGUAUAUACCACAUUUUCUUUAUCCAUUUAUCUACUGAAGGGAAAGCCUAGGUCUUUAAUCAACUUUGAGUCGAAUUUUGUACAGGGUGAGAGAUGGGAUUAAAUUUCUUUCUGCUACAUAUGGAUUUCCAGUUUUCCCAGCACCAUUUGUUGAAGAGGGUAUCUAUUCUCCAGUGUAUAUUUUUGGUGCCUUUGUCCAGUAUUAGAUAUGUGGGUUUGUCUGUGUCUUCUGUUCCAUUGGUCUUUAUGCCUGUGUUGGUGCCAAACCAUGCUGUUUUUGUUACCGUAGCUCUAUAGUAUAGUGUAAGGUUUGGUGUUGUGAUGCCUCCUGCUUCACUUUUCUUGCUAAAGAUUGCUUUGGGGGCUGGAGUUGUGGCUCAGUGGUACAGCACUUGCCUAGUGUGAGGCACUGGGUUCGAUUCUCAGCACCACAUAUGAAUAAAUGAAUAAAAUAAAGGUCCAUCGACAACUGAAUAUAUGUGUGUGUGUGUGCGUGUAUGUGUGUGUAUAUAUGUGUGUGUGUGUAUAUAUAUUUAUUUUUAAAAAGAUUGCUUUGGCUAUUCUGGGCCUCCUGUUUUUCAAAAUGAAUUUCAUGACGGCUUUUUCUAUUUCUGUGAAGAACAUCAUUGGAAUUUUAAUAAGAAUUGUAUUAAGUCUGUAUAGUGCUUUUGGUAGUAUGGCCAUUUUGACUAUUAAUUCUGCCUAUCCAAGAAUAUGGGAGAUCUUUCCAUCUUCUGAGGUCUUUUUUAGUUUCUCUCUUUAGUGUUCUGUAGUUUUCAUUGCAGAGGUCUUUCACCUCUUUUGUUAGAUUGAAUCCCAAAUAUUUCAUUUUAUUUUUUUGAGGCUGUUGUGAAUGGGAUAGUUUUCCUAAUUUCUUUUAGCUGACUUAUCACUGUUAUAUAGAAUGUAAUUGAUUUAUGGGUGUUAAUUUUAUAUCCUGCUGGUGGAGUUUUUUUUUUGCCUUCUAAAUAUAGGAUCAUAUUACUAGCGUAUAGGGAUAGUUUAAGCUUCUCUUUUCCUUUUCGUAUCCCUGCAAUUUUCUUUUGCCUAAUUGCUCUGGAUAGAGUUUCAAGGGUAUAUUGAAUAGAUGAGCUGAAAGAGCAUCCCUGUGUUGUUCCAGUUUUUAGAGGGAAUGCUUUUAGUUUUUCUCCAUUUAGAGUGAUGUUGGCCUUGGAUUUAACAUAUAUGGCUUUUACAAUGUUGAGGUAUGUUUCUACUAUCCCUAGUUUUUCUAGUGUUUUGAAUACAAAUGGACGCUAUAUUUUGUCAAAUGCUUUUCUGUAUCUAUUAAGAUAAUGUGAUUCUUGUUUUUAAGUUU
rnacentral:lncRNA from 1 species